GGUUAAGCGACUAAGCGUACACGGUGGAUGCCCUGGCAGUCAGAGGCGAUGAAGGACGUGCUAAUCUGCGAUAAGCGUCGGUAAGGUGAUAUGAACCGUUAUAACCGGCGAUUUCCGAAUGGGGAAACCCAGUGUGUUUCGACACACUAUCAUUAACUGAAUCCAUAGGUUAAUGAGGCGAACCGGGGAACUGAAACAUCUAAGUACCCCGAGGAAAAGAAAUCAACCGAGAUUCCCCCAGUAGCGGCGAGCGAACGGGGAGCAGCCCAGAGCCUGAAUCAGUGUGUGUGUUAGUGGAAGCGUCUGGAAAGGCGCGCGAUACAGGGUGACAGCCCCGUACACAAAAAUGCACAUACUGUGAGCUCGAUGAGUAGGGCGGGACACGUGGUAUCCUGUCUGAAUAUGGGGGACCAUCCUCCAAGGCUAAAUACUCCUGACUGACCGAUAGUGAACCAGUACCGUGAGGGAAAGGCGAAAAGAACCCCGGCGAGGGGAGUGAAAAAGAACCUGAAACCGUGUACGUACAAGCAGUGGGAGCCUCUUUAUGGGGUGACUGCGUACCUUUUGUAUAAUGGGUCAGCGACUUAUAUUCUGUAGCAAGGUUAACCGAAUAGGGAGCCGAAGGGAAACCGAGUCUUAACUGGGCGUUAAGUUGCAGGGUAUAGACCCGAAACCCGGUGAUCUAGCCAUGGGCAGGUUGAAGGUUGGGUAACACUAACUGGAGGACCGAACCGACUAAUGUUGAAAAAUUAGCGGAUGACUUGUGGCUGGGGGUGAAAGGCCAAUCAAACCGGGAGAUAGCUGGUUCUCCCCGAAAGCUAUUUAGGUAGCGCCUCGUGAAUUCAUCUCCGGGGUAGAGCACUGUUUCGGCAAGGGGGUCAUCCCGACUUACCAACCCGAUGCAAACUGCGAAUACCGGAGAAUGUUAUCACGGGAGACACACGGCGGGUGCUAACGUCCGUCGUGAAGAGGGAAACAACCCAGACCGCCAGCUAAGGUCCCAAAGUCAUGGUUAAGUGGGAAACGAUGUGGGAAGGCCCAGACAGCCAGGAUGUUGGCUUAGAAGCAGCCAUCAUUUAAAGAAAGCGUAAUAGCUCACUGGUCGAGUCGGCCUGCGCGGAAGAUGUAACGGGGCUAAACCAUGCACCGAAGCUGCGGCAGCGACGCUUAUGCGUUGUUGGGUAGGGGAGCGUUCUGUAAGCCUGUGAAGGUGUGCUGUGAGGCAUGCUGGAGGUAUCAGAAGUGCGAAUGCUGACAUAAGUAACGAUAAAGCGGGUGAAAAGCCCGCUCGCCGGAAGACCAAGGGUUCCUGUCCAACGUUAAUCGGGGCAGGGUGAGUCGACCCCUAAGGCGAGGCCGAAAGGCGUAGUCGAUGGGAAACAGGUUAAUAUUCCUGUACUUGGUGUUACUGCGAAGGGGGACGGAGAAGGCUAUGUUGGUAGGGCGACGGUUGUCCCGGUUUAAGCGUGUAGGCUGGUUUUCCAGGCAAAUCCGGAAAAUCAAGGCUGAGGCGUGAUGACGAGGCACUACGGUGCUGAAGCAACAAAUGCCCUGCUUCCAGGAAAAGCCUCUAAGCAUCAGGUAACAUCAAAUCGUACCCCAAACCGACACAGGUGGUCAGGUAGAGAAUACCAAGGCGCUUGAGAGAACUCGGGUGAAGGAACUAGGCAAAAUGGUGCCGUAACUUCGGGAGAAGGCACGCUGAUAUGUAGGUGAAGCGACUUGCUCGUGGAGCUGAAAUCAGUCGAAGAUACCAGCUGGCUGCAACUGUUUAUUAAAAACACAGCACUGUGCAAACACGAAAGUGGACGUAUACGGUGUGACGCCUGCCCGGUGCCGGAAGGUUAAUUGAUGGGGUCAGCGCAAGCGAAGCUCUUGAUCGAAGCCCCGGUAAACGGCGGUACGUAACUAUAACGGUCCUAAGGUAGCGAAAUUCCUUGUCGGGUAAGUUCCGACCUGCACGAAUGGCGUAAUGAUGGUCAGGCUGUCUCCACCCGAGACUCAGUGAAAUUGAACUCGCUGUGAAGAUGCAGUGUACCCGCGGCAAGACGGAAAGACCCCGUGAACCUUUACUAUAGCUUGACACUGAACAUUGAGCCUUGAUGUGUAGGAUAGGUGGGAGGCUUUGAAGUGUGGACGCCAGUCUGCAUGGAGCCGACCUUGAAAUACCACCCUUUAAUGUUUGAUGUUCUAACGUUGACCCGUAAUCCGGGUUGCGGACAGUGUCUGGUGGGUAGUUUGACUGGGGCGGUCUCCUCCUAAAGAGUAACGGAGGAGCACGAAGGUUGGCUAAUCCUGGUCGGACAUCAGGAGGUUAGUGCAAUGGCAUAAGCCAGCUUGACUGCGAGCGUGACGGCGCGAGCAGGUGCGAAAGCAGGUCAUAGUGAUCCGGUGGUUCUGAAUGGAAGGGCCAUCGCUCAACGGAUAAAAGGUACUCCGGGGAUAACAGGCUGAUACCGCCCAAGAGUUCAUAUCGACGGCGGUGUUUGGCACCUCGAUGUCGGCUCAUCACAUCCUGGGGCUGAAGUAGGUCCCAAGGGUAUGGCUGUUCGCCAUUUAAAGUGGUACGCGAGCUGGGUUUAGAACGUCGUGAGACAGUUCGGUCCCUAUCUGCCGUGGGCGCUGGAGAACUGAGGGGGCUGCUCCUAGUACGAGAGGACCGGAGUGGACGCAUCACUGGUGUUCGGGUUGUCAUGCCAAUGGCACUGCCCGGUAGCUAAAUGCGGAAGAGAUAAGUGCUGAAAGCAUCUAAGCACGAAACUUGCCCCGAGAUGAGUUCUCCCUGACCCUUUAAGGGUCCUGAAGGAACGUUGAAGACGACGACGUUGAUAGGCCGGGUGUGUAAGCGCAGCGAUGCGUUGAGCUAACCGGUACUAAUGAACCGUGAGGCUUAACCUU
rnacentral:rRNA from 1 species